CAACGUACCCAGCAGGGUAGGCACCAGGAUGACCAAGGUGGUUUUCUCAGGUGAUGAUUAUCCUUUGCAUAACAGACAUGUUGAACUCUGUGAUUUCCUCAAAUUCAGGAAACUCAACUGCAUAAUUUGUGAUAGUUGAAGGACUGAGUUCGAGCUCUCCCCUA